ensembl:lincRNA Gm37432 predicted gene, 37432
AUCUUAGAUGCAAACAGAGGAACAACAGCGAGCAUAUUCACACAUUUGCUCAAGCCUCUUGUCAGAAGCCAAUACCUUGUCCACCCUGGAGCUGUCCCUGGUCUCACUGCCCUGUGACCACCACCAGUAACACCAGGAAUGACUCUUUGCUUCAGUGAUCCCACAGACCCUGCUGGAGUCAGCGAUGAAGACCUAAAAGGGGUUCCAUGUCCUUGGCAUAGAAGCAGAAGGCCUGGGAAGGUGGACCCAAGGCUAGCAAUCUGCUUAGCAGGUGUCACAGGAAGGGGGUGAGUGUGGCUCCUGAGGAUGUCCAAGGAUGUGCCCUGGCUAUCAGGCAGCAU